GGAAACUUAUUUUAUAGGUAGAAAAAGCAAACUGAACAGACUGAGAUGUUUCCUUGCAAGACUGCAGACCACGGCCAUGUGUGCAGGGCACAGGAGUCCAGGCUGACCCAUAAACAAGCUAUUAAGGGCACCACAAGGGAAGAUGUGCGUGGUUUUGUCAUGGACUUUGAUGGAGGUGGGUAUCUGAGGCCUCACUGAUUUUCUUGUAUCUCAUCUAUUACUCAGAAUCAUGGAGUCUUCUGAGUUGAAAGGAGCCCACAAGGAUCAUCAAAUCCAACUCUUAAGUGAAUGACCCAUACAGUGACUGAACCCACAACCUUGAUGUUAUAAGCACCACGUUCUAACCAACUGUGCUAAUCAUCUCAUGGAUGAGGAAAUGUAUAUCGCUUUGCAUUUAAGGAGCAUGCUGUUAGAUUUCAUGUGGAGUAACAAUAACCAGUUGAAAUGGUAGUGCCUUAAACAUGCUUGUUUUUGUGCCAUUGCAAAAUUAAGUUUAAUAUUUGCAAAUUGGUUAUGUAAACUCACAUUCUGUCUAAUGAGUAGUAAAUAUUAUGAUUCUUUCAGAGCAA